rnacentral:rRNA from 1 species
GAUGAACGCUAGCUACAGGCUUAACACAUGCCAGUCGAGGGGAAACGACAUCGAAAGCUUGCUUUUGAUGGGCGUCGACCGGCGCACGGGUGAGUAACGCGUAUCCAACCUGCCCAUCACUUGGGAAUAACCUUGCGAAAGUAAGACUAAUACCCAAUGAUAUCCCACGAAGGCAUCGGAAUGGGAUUAAAGAUUUAUCGGUGAUGGAUGGGGAUGCGUCUGAUUAGCUUGUUGGCGGGGUAACGGCCCACCAAGGCAACGAUCAGUAGGGGUUCUGAGAGGAAGGUCCCCCACAUUGGAACUGAGACACGGUCCAAACUCCUACGGGAGGCAGCAGUGAGGAAGAUUGGUCAAUGGGCGAGAGCCUGAACCAGCCAAGUAGCGUGCAGGAAGACGGCCCUAUGGGUUGUAAACUGCUUUUAGAAGGGAAUAAAGUGGGUCACGUGUGACUUUUUGCAUGUACCUUAUGAAUAAGGACCGGCUAAUUCCGUG